CGCCUCCCAAAGUUCUGGGUUAUAGGCGUGAGCCACUGUGCCUGGCCAGGAGCAGUUUCUAUCGGAUUUCAAAAGAUAAAACAUAAUUCUCAAUAUUAUGGGCGGGGGGACAGGUAAUUAUAUGCAUAAGACUACAUUGCUGGCCGGGCGCAGUGGCUCAUGCCUGUAAUCCCAGCACUUUGAGAGGCCGAGGUGGGCGGAUCAUGAGGUCAGGAGUUCGAGACCAGCCUAGCCAACAUGGCAAAACCCCAUCUCUACUAAAAAUAACAAAAAUUAGCCGCACACGGUGGUGAGUGCCUGUAAUCCCAACUACUCAGGAGGCUGAGGCGGGAGAAUUGCUUGAACCUGGGAGACAGAGAUUGCAGUGAGCCGAGAUCGUGCUGUUGUGCUGCAGCCUGGGUGACAAGAGCAAGACUCCAUCUUGGGGAAGACUACAUUGCUGAUAUAUACUUGUAGUACUUUAUAAAAAGUGAUUUGUCAUUAGGUAUCAAAAGGGAUAAAAAUGUUUAUAACCUUUGCCCCAGUGGAAUAACCAAUUUCACUAGUAAGAUUAUCCUCAGGAAAUAAUUAAAUAUUGUGGCAAGAUCUAGCUACUAAGAUGUUUAUAGUAGUGAGAUACUGGAAAUAAGUAUUCAACUGUUAGACAUUAGUACAUCUAUAUAAUAGAUUACCCUAGCCAUAAAAAUUAUCUCUGUGAAUGUUCAAAAAAUUCUCCUGUAUAUUACGUGAAAACAAAUGAUAAAAUGGAGAAUAUAUAGUAGAAUUUGUUUUUGUAAAAAAUACAUAGAAAAAGACUGGAAGAAGAUUCAUUAAGGUGUUAGAUUCUGCCUUUUUAAAUUGAGAUAUAAUUCAUAUACUGGCGUGGGCCCUAGCACUCGGCCACGUGUUUUGAUAUAUGUAUACAUUGUGAAAUGAUGGUCACACUCAAGCUAGUUAACAUAUCCAUCACCUCACAUAGUUAUCUUUUUUUUGCAUGUGUAAUGAGAACAUUUAAGAUCUACUUUCCAACCAAAUUUCAAGUAUACAAUAGAGUGUUAUUAACUGUCAACACCAAGUUGUACAUUAGAUCCUCAGCACUCACUCAUCCUGCCUAACGAAAACUUUGUACUCUUUAACCAACGUCUCCCUAUUUCCCCCACCCUCCAGCCCCGGCAACCACUAUGCUACUCUCUGCUUCUAUGAGUUUGACUUUUUAAUAUUCCCCAUAUAAGUAAGAUCAUGCAGUAUUUGUCUUUCUGUGUCUGGCUUAUUUCACUUAGCGUAAUGCUCUUCAGGUUCAUCCACGUUGCCCUAAAUGGCAGGAUUUCCUUUUGUAAGGCUGAAUAAUAUACCAUUGUAUAUACCACAUUUUCUUUAUUCAUCCGUUUAAGGACACUUAGUUGUUUCCAUGUCUUUGCUAUAUAAUUAAUACACACACACACACACACAUAUACAUAUAAUAGUGCUGUAAUGAACAUGGGAGUGCAGCUAUCACUUUGAGAUACUGCUUUCAUUUCCUUUGGAUAUAUGCCCAGAGGUAGAAUUGCUGGAUCAUAACAUGUUUUUAGUAUUUUGAGGACCUUCCAUAUUGUUUUCCAUGUUCGCUGUACCAAUUUACAUCCUCACCAAUAGCGUACAAGGGUUGUCUUUCCUCCACAUCCUCACCAACACUUGUU
rnacentral:lncRNA from 10 species